UCUGGUGGCACAGCUGGCGCUGCAGUACAGCGCCCUUAACCACUGCGCCACCCAGGAGGCCCCGAAACUCUCGUUUUCAACUGUUGGAUUUAUGAUUACACUCUAGAUAAGCUAGAUGCAGGCAUGAGUGUGCAAGGCAUUAUUGAAUGUGUCACUGUCUGUCAUCUAAAAAAUGUAUCUUGACCUGUGCACCUACAUUGUAAACUUUCAUUCAUAGGCUAGGUUGUUGCAACGUCAUGAUGGGUAGAGGGAAAAUUAGAGUUUCAUGUAGCAGCCUAAACCUAUCGACGUAACAUUGAACUGGGUGAAUGGAAUAGGAAUGACAGUCAUCCAACAUGCUGUAAUAGAAAUAAGGCCAUGCUCAUGAACAAAAAAAGAAUCCUCCUUCAACAUAAAACGGCACUGAAUUUGUCAAGAGAAUAUGAUGAAAUCAUUUGCCUUGACAUGAUCAUUUACUUUAACUUGUAGCUACAGUACAGUUGACCAUAGCCUCUUGUUUUCUCCAUGCCAUUAAAUGCCUUCCAGAAUAUAACCUAGUUUUGGCAUGGGAGGAUGAUUUUUUUCUCUAAUCCCAUUCUAUAAUCUGACCUGCCAGCGCAAAUCGAGGGAUUAUAAUCUACAGCCAUUGUUCUCUUCCUACAGCCACUAAUUAGAAGUUGGUAAGAAUGGGUUUGAGCUGUCAGAUACUCCCAACACAGACAGCAAAUCUCCAGAUUAGACAGCUUUGCCUGAGAUAAUGACAAAAAACAUCUCUUUCCCACGACAGUCUGUUGGAAAAAAGAUUUACCAUAUGCGAGUCUUGGACCUAACCUGAAUCGGAUGUUCUUUUGGAGAAAACCAUAUGGGACAAUAUCACGCUUCAUAUGUCUGCUCAAUCGGAAAUGACAUUUAUAAAUGUCAAUCGCGCUAUAACACGGAUGUUCCUCAGUCCGGAUUGAAUAUAGGCCAAUGUAGAACACCUAUGGGAGAGUAUCAUACCUACAAGAAAGUAAAAUGGUGAUAAAUCACAAUACCUCUGAUCUCUUACCUCCUUUAUCAAAGUUACAUAUGCAUACUGUACAAAGUCAUAUUGUAACUCGUGUUUAAGAUCAAAAUUGCAUAACUGUUUUCUUUUUGUGUAUUUUCUUAUCAAAGAUGAAGUGUCAUGUCUGAGUCAAGCUCUUCUUUUUCAAAUUUGGUGUUGUAAAGAAAUAAUUUAAAAAAUCUGUAUGUGGAACGCUUGUACUAAUGAAGGGUUUCACGUUUAACUAAUCUACAAUGGGUUAUUAUUCCCAAAACUGCAGGCCUAUAAUCUCAUUCAUGUUGCUAAAUGCCAUAAUAUAAAUCACAUUGUUUAUCUAAUAAUUUCUAGGUGGAAAAUACUCAAAGAUGGCUACAAGAAUGUAUUGGGCUUGAUACCUUUUUUAUUUGCAAGAUCCUGUAAAGUUCCUGUAAAUCUACAGCACCACCUAAAAUACCACUCUGGGCAGAUGGAGGCUAAAGUUGUCCAUAGAGCCCCUUAGUGGAGUCAAACAGGGAAAUGGUUCCAAUAAUUUUUCCACCAUUCAUUUUUCCCAUAGGGGAUUUUUGAAAAACCUCAAAUAAGGACUUUGUUUCAGUGUAGGCUUACCCUGGCGUGAUGUUUGAUGUAAAUUUCUCUCUGACAAGGUGGCUUUUAUCAAUAUUUUCCUGUAUUUACCCCCUCAAAAAUACAUACAUGCUAAUGUGGCUAUAUGGGAGUUACAUGGUUGCCAUGGUGCUGUGAGGUCGCCUAGGCAGUGAGCUCCUGUACAUUUUGUGUUUUUAAAAUUUUUAUAAAUCUGUUUUGUUCACAUAAAUAUUGUGAUCUUCAAUGUAAAAGUUACAGGACUUCAACAUCAAAUCAUUUUUUUGUGUGCCUUGGCUAGCUAGCUACCUGGAUGGCUAAUGUUUGCAUUUAAAUUAUGCUGCAGCAGCUCCGGUUUUUAUGUUUCAUCUGGAAGGUGAAGACUGCAUUGUCUGAAAUGUCAGAGUGGUAGAGGGACUGUUCCUGACCACUGAUGAUUUUCUGGCACUUUACUGCAGCAUCAACCAGGUGCCUGCUUCACUGUCGGCAAUGGAGGAUCAGCUACCUACGGAGUAGCGGCUACUAUGGAGGAACUGCGGACGUUGGACAAAGCGAUGGGCCCUUAAGAGCUCCUGGCUUGUCUGACAGACUGACUUUCUCUCUGGCUGCACCCUCCGCUCAAGCCAUACUGACUUUUCCAAACUGCCUCAGCUCCAUUCGUUUUUUAUCUUUAAUGUGUUGUUCAUUGAUGAAUGAUGUAUUUUGUUAACAAGAGGACCUCAAUGGAAAUACAUUUCUAAAGGUUGUGUUAUCAUAUAGCAUACUUAAGUACAAAUGUAUGUCUCAAGCUUCCCGUCACUCACCAGGGCCAUGAUGAUUUGGACGAGACUAAGAAUCUCUGGAUUAGCUAUCUAAUAUUAGCAAAGUAGUGAAUAAAUUGGCAACAUUUGUUUAAAUGGACAAUUCUGUGAUCUGUCUUGGGCAAGUUUUAACAUUUACACAAUACCUGUAAUCUUGAUUGCUAACUCAUGGUUAGCUAGUUAGCAACAUUAGUCUGGCUACAUUAAACGUCUAUUUGUCUAGACAUUUAAAUGCAUAAGAAAUUCAUAAAAACGAGCUUAGCCUUCUUCUGCUUUUAUAAACCAACAGUCUAGCUUGCUAGUUAACUAGCUAACUUAGAUGGUGAAGCUAGGUGUUCUUGAUUAUGUUUAUUUGUGUCUGUGGGUGAGGUAGCUUACUUCAAGUAACUACUUGACUUUUAGCUACCCUAGCUAGCUGUAUUAUUUUGGUCUGGAUUUUUGAGAGGUUUCAGAGAUGGACUGAUUAGCAUCCUCUCGAGUCAACAAUGUGCUUCAUUUACUGCAGGAAAAGUUUGUUGUUACCCUCUAAACAGCAGGUCAUUAGUAUAGCUAGUAGGCAAGGUAAUGGAACUGUAUUUAGUCCUGCCUGCUAUGGUGGGUUUUAAAUUAAUUAGUAUUCACAUGUUUGUUUUUGAGAAAGAAUUACUGUCACGUUAUUGAUGCCAAAUUGCUAACCUUAUUUGUGCCUAUUCCAGAACCAAUGGUUGUGCCUGAGUCUUAUCACCUCUCAACUAGGUAAGCUGUUUUAACCUGGGACACUAUUCCCCUGCUUUGGUCUGUUUAAGUCAUUGCUGGAAGUCACCUGAAGAACAGGAGUGUGUGACGGGUUUUGUCCCAGGCCAGCUCUAACAACUGACUCAACAUAACAAACCACGGCGAUAGGCUAUGGUUUUUUGUGCUGGGCUGGAACAAAAGCUUAUACACGCUCUUGUCAUUCAGAUCUGGAGAUGUCCACCGUUUUUAAGUCAUUUCUGUACUAUGGGUACAAUAUGCCCGUCUCAAGUUGAACUUGAACUUGUUGACUGAUGCCAAGGUGUUGGCUGUUAAGAAGAAGGAAGCAGCUGUGGACCAGAAGACUGCAGACAAGGCAGCACUGGUCCACACCUGUCCUGUCUGUCAGAUGCAGACCUGAAGACAUUCAAGCAGCACUUUGAGAGCAAGCAUCCCAAGACUCCAAUGGUCCCAGUACUGGUUGAUGUGCAGGCCUAAGUGACCACACACACUCAAAUGGACCUACAGCUGAGAAACACCACGAUUGAAAUGCUGCGACGGAAUGACGUCGAGGGACACACACUGAGAACCCGAGUAUGACUGGACAUGAGCCGGAUAUUUGUGACAACGACCUAAAAAGGCGUUCAGAAGCACACCAGCACGCCAUGUUAUGUUUAUUCCAUGGCCAACCAUCCCUUCAGUUACCGCUUAUUCCACACUAUGCCUUUUAUGCCCCAUACUCCCUCAACUUCGACCUUUUUGCAACGCUCCAUCUUAUCUCUAUAAAUCCACCCUACCUUCACCCGUUUUCCCUAUGCUGCUUCCUUCACUUGUUCUCCUGAUUAGAUAACAUUGAGAUUCAAGAACGUUUAAAACUAUUAGGGUGUACUGCUUUUGUUACCUUUUUUUCCCCACAUGUGUAACACUGUCCUGGUUAUUUUAAGGUUCAGACUGAAUGCAUUGGUAAAUGUGCUCAUAAUUGACAGCAGCAACAUGGACCUGUUAAAUUGACAAGAAGGGUGUUGAUAUAGCUGCGUUUAGGCAUGGCCUCCUUGUUUUCAGUCUUAAGUGUGAUUCUCAUUCUGCUGUGGUUUACAUAAACUCAGCAAAGAAAGAAACGACCCCUUUUCAGGACCCUGUCUUUCAAAGAUCAUUUGGAAAAUCAA